rnacentral:rRNA from 1 species
GACGUGGUCAUGUCCGACGCCGCAACUGGCCUACGAGUUCAACCGUAACUUUGAAACUUUCUACGAGUUCAACCUCGUAAUAUUUGAGAUCCCUUCGGUAAACAAGUUGGCAGUCUAGUCACCGAGGUUUCGGUAGGUUAGUACGGAGUGAUCCUUUCACACUUCGCCGCCUUCUCUCCACCACGACGUAGACGUUGAGACGUACGUACCACCGUUGACGCCCGUAGAACCUGCGUGUUUACCGCUCUCCAGCUGGCCUCUUUCACGUAGGUAUUGUUUUCCCAUUCCACCACGCGUGUAUUAUAAUGGGUUUUCACCGCGCGACCAUUCAUAUUGACGUUCAAGUACGUGGUGUACGCGUAUAUGACGAUCUAUCUAUCUACUUUUCAACGUACUGCACUUACCGUUGAGAUUUCGAAACGGGGACAACUGUAACCCUUAUAGCCGAACGACAAGUAUUAUAGGCCAAGAAGUCUUUCAGAGACGCGCUUAGCCUAUGCAGGUGUGGCUAUUAUAGAGUAAAGUAAUCCAUGUGACCGAGCGUCGAGACACAGACCAUAUAUCCGCACGCAUACAGCAGAGAGGACGGCGAGUAGUGGCAACAAGAACAAAGCGGGGGCUGCUGAUCUGGUACCGUCGUCGUCGGCCAGAGUUCGAGCGGCGGGACACGGAGGAGGAGCAGCGGCAGCAGAGGAGGGAGGGAGACGAGCGCGCACGUCUCACGCUCACGCUCCGGCCGCCGCUCCUCCUCCUCGUCCUGUUCCGCCCGAGCGACUCCGAGUCCUAGUAGCGGCAGAAGACGUAGGAGCACCGGUCGCGCCGCCCGACGCGGUAGGGCAGCGACCCGGCCUCCAAGGGACGCGACUCGGGCCUGUCCCUGGAGAAGAAGCCGCAGUUCCGGAAGCGCCGCCCCCAGUAGGAGCGGUGGAGGAAGCACGUGUAGGAGGGCCUCCGGAAGCUCGCCGAGCCGAGCGGCACGGAGCAGUCGCCCGGCACCGUCUUCAAGGGCAAGCGGCCGGAGCAGCGGUACGAGCGCCGGUAGCGGUGCGAGCAGCAGCUGUGGUAGCGGUGCCCGAUGAAGGCCGCGCGGCGCGUGCGGUUCUUCCGGCGCCGGCAGCAGCCCCGGCUGCUGCACCUCCGGUACAGCCGAGUAGUGCGCGUGCAGCCAGUGAGGGUGCCGCACAGUCGGCAGCAGCGCAGUAGCCGCCGCCGCAGGCUGCUGCCGCCGCGCGUCGAGUAGGCGGUCGCACAGUAGAGCGUCCACGACCUCGACCCCUAGUAUCACGUGAGCCACUAGUAGCCGUACAGAGAUCCGCGUAGGGUCUCGUGGUCGUGCUAGUCUGGUGAGCACCAGCGCGAUUGAAAGGUGGUCAAGAAGCUUCCCUAUCCCGAGCCUCCUACGUAGCAAGUCCGGUUCAAGGCGGACUUCAGGCACGACGACUACCGCGAGAAGAAGAGUGAGUGGUGCGGCCAACCGCAGCACUAGCCGUAGCCCUAUAGGAGGCAGAUGCUGCUCUUGUCGGGGUUGUGGGACUAGUAGGUUCCCUAGGAGUCGCGGCGGCGGCGGCCUUAGGAGUUGAUGUACCGGGAGCAGCUGGAGGAGCGGCUUCUGAAAUACUUGGGAUCCCACGUCCCGUUGCCUUCCGACGUCCAGUAGCAUUUGGAGAGGAACGACGAACCCUGCCCAGAGUACAGUUACGAACGGUAUACCCGGACUCUAUAGCAGGAGUGGACUUUUUUUUUAGCAAAACUUCUUAAAAAGAACAAGAACAAGAACCAAGUCAGUAGAACACCCCCCGUAUCACUCCUAAAUAGAAAGAAAAAGAACAACGAACGAUCAUUUUUACAUAUGUACAUAUCAUCUAGUUUGAUAGUUUGAUGUACCCCAGACCAGAAGAGAGG